CCUUACCAAUUUUUUUUGUGUAUUCUAUAUAUGUGUUCCAUUAACAAAUGCAUAAAAUUUUGCAAAAUUCAUUUUUUUUUAAUUUAAAUCUUUGCUCUUUCAUCUUUAAUCAGUAGGCUAUUUUCCCAAGGAAAAUGCCUAAGGGGAUUGAACACUUCGUUAGUGCAACUAGUAAGAGUUCACUUUCAUAAAUAACCGACAAUGAAAAGUCAUUCAUGUAUAGCAUUUCAUAGUGCAUGGAAAACCAUGUACUAUGAAAAUUAGAGGGCAAAAAACUGACUUCUCA
rnacentral:lncRNA from 1 species